rnacentral:rRNA from 1 species
UUUGGAAACAGAUGCUAAUACCGAAUAAAACUUAGUAUCGCAUGAUAUCAAGUUAAAAGGCGCUACGGCGUCACCUAGAGAUGGAUCCGCGGUGCAUUAGUUAGUUGGUGGGGUAAAGGCUUACCAAGACGAUGAUGCAUAGCCGAGUUGAGAGACUGAUCGGCCACAUUGGGACUGAGACACGGCCCAAACUCCUACGGGAGGCUGCAGUAGGGAAUCUUCCACAAUGGGCGCAAGCCUGAUGGAGCAACGCCGCGUGUGUGAUGAAGGCUUUCGGGUCGUAAAGCACUGUUGUAUGGGAAGAAAUGCUAAAAUAGGGAAUGAUUUUAGUUUGACGGUACCAUACCAGAAAGGGACGGCUAAAUACGUGCCAGCAGCCGCGGUAAUACGUAUGUCCCGAGCGUUAUCCGGAUUUAUUGGGCGUAAAGCGAGCGCAGACGGUUGAUUAAGUCUGAUGUGAAAGCCCGGAGCUCAACUCCGGAAUGGCAUUGGAAACUGGUUAACUUGAGUGUUGUAGAGGUAAGUGGAACUCCAUGUGUAGCGGUGGAAUGCGUAGAUAUAUGGAAGAACACCAGUGGCGAAGGCGGCUUACUGGACAACAACUGACGUUGAGGCUCGAAAGUGUGGGUAGCAAACAGGAUUAGAUACCCUGGUAGUCCACACCGUAAACGAUGAAUACUAGGUGUUAGGAGGUUUCCGCCUCUUAGUGCCGAAGCUAACGCAUUAAGUAUUCCGCCUGGGGAGUACGACCGCAAGGUUGAAACUCAAAGGAAUUGACGGGGACCCGCACAAGCGGUGGAGCAUGUGGUUUAAUUCGAAGCAACGCGAAGAACCUUACCAGGUCUUGACAUCCUUUGAAGCUUUUAGAGAUAGAAGUGUUCUCUUCGGAGACAAAGUGACAGGUGGUGCAUGGUCGUCGUCAGCUCGUGUCGUGAGAUGUUGGGUUAAGUCCCGCAACGAGCGCAACCCUUAUUGUUAGUUGCCAGCAUUCAGUUGGGCACUCUAGCGAGACUGCCGGUGACAAACCGGAGGAAGGCGGGGACGACGUCAGAUCAUCAUGCCCCUUAUGACCUGGGCUACACACGUGCUACAAUGGCGUAUACAACGAGUUGCCAACCUGCGAAGGUGAGCUAAUCUCUUAAAGUACGUCUCAGUUCGGACUGCAGUCUGCAACUCGACUGCACGAAGUCGGAAUCGCUAGUAAUCGCGGAUCAGCACGCCGCGGUGAAUACGUUCCCGGGUCUUGUACACACCGCCCGUCACACCAUGGGAGUUUGUAAUGCCCAAAGCCGGUGGCCUAACCUUCGGGAGGGAGCCGUCUAAGGCAGGACAGAUGACUGGGGUGAAGUCGUAACAAGGUGCCAGCC